rnacentral:rRNA from 1 species
UGGGGAAUAUUGCGCAAUGGGCGAAAGCCUGACGCAGCGACGCCGCGUGAGGGAUGAAGGCCUUCGGGUUGUAAACCUCUUUCAGCAGGGACGAAGCGCAAGUGACGGUACCUGCAGAAGAAGCACCGGCCAACUACGUGCCAGCAGCCGCGGUAAUACGUAGGGUGCAAGCGUUGUCCGGAAUUAUUGGGCGUAAAGAGCUCGUAGGCGGUCUGUCGCGUCGGCUGUGAAAACUUGGGGCUCAACUCCAAGCCUGCAGUCGAUACGGGCAGACUAGAGUCCGGCAGGGGAGACUGGAAUUCCUGGUGUAGCGGUGAAAUGCGCAGAUAUCAGGAGGAACACCGGUGGCGAAGGCGGGUCUCUGGGCCGGAACUGACGCUGAGGAGCGAAAGCGUGGGGA